UUCUUAUCCCAUUAGCUUUUUUAGUAAUUUUGAUUUCUUUUUUCCAGCCUGGGGGUAAAUCAUCCAAUGAAGGGUCUCCAUUCAAAGAAGCCUGAUCAGAGUUGCCAGUUUCUGGUGUAGGAUCGGAGUCCUGGAGCAAUUCCUGGCUGCAGGCAUUCACGGAGAGGCUCGCAGAUUUAUCAGCUACAGCUGGAAGAGCACGUUCACCAAGAUCCAAAUCAGCCGCCGCUUCUGCAUUUUGACCUGCAAGUCUUUUGGAGACCCGACGACCAAGGUCAAAAUGCAGAAGCGGCG
rnacentral:misc_RNA from 1 species